AUGAAGCAGAGUGGAUCGUGUACUUCAGCUGCUAGCUGCCAGACCUCAUACACCUUGCUACGUGGACAUUUUCACCCUGGUUUUAAGCUAACGUGUCAGACGGUGAUGUGGGGUGACCAAGGAGCCAGCACCUGCAGCUGCUCCAAGCCACCCCAAAAGGCAAAGAACUCAGGCGUGGAAGAGUGCAUGGGAGGCGCUCAGAAGCACACCAAUGUGCUGCAAGAAAUAAGAAAGACAACGACUACACCUGCACCAGAACAGCUACUCUGGAGGCCUCGAUCAAUGCCUUGGCUGCUGCAUAAAUACAGAGAAAGGCUCAUUCGUGGCAGGACGAGUUUCCCACAGAUGGUAAACAGAUGUCUCAGGUGUAUGGCAGAAGAAAAGGAAGCCCUUGAAUGGGAACCUCAGGCAAACACACUAGUCUGCACGAGUCCUGAGCCGACCAGCUCUGGAAACAGCAUCACUGCCCAUCUUGGAAACACUCCAGACAUUAUCCAUGUUGUCCUUUAGGCAGCCUGGCUUCUACAGAUGAUGUCUUCCCUUGCAGCAGGCAAUCCUGGGACCUCUGGGGAAGGGACAUGAAGCAACCUCGUUUGGCCCAUGUGGCAGGACCAGAAGGGGUACAGCGACAGGAGUCAAUGGAGGCCCCUGAGAGUUGCAAGGGCUGGUCACCACUCUGCGUAGGCAUGCAUUCGAAUAAACGCUACCGGCCCUCUUCA
rnacentral:lncRNA from 1 species